AUCCAGCUGACGAGUCCAAAAUAGGGCGAGACGCGCGUCAAGCUGGAU
rfam:Schistosoma mansoni strain Puerto Rico chromosome W, complete genome